UGGAGGACUGAGAAGGUUGGACAGCUUCUUCUGUGCUGUUAUAACUGGUUAUAGCCUCCAAGAGUAGUAAACAAACCACAUGAUUAAUUCAGCCUGUUCUACGCAGAGCUGAGAUGUGUUUGUGGAUCAUUUU
ensembl:snoRNA Small nucleolar RNA SNORA47